rnacentral:lncRNA from 1 species
AGGAUGGGUGGGGUCUGAGCCAAGGAUCUGUUGAGGCCCAUCUCCUCUGCAGAGUCUGCGCAUGUGCUGUGUGUGUGUGUGCGUGCGUGCGUGUGUGUGUGUGUGCACGCGCAUGUGAGCUCACCACCUCUACUGAGUGGACACAGGUUGCAGAUCCAGAGGUCAGAGGCUGCUUGCUGUGCCCUUCCUGGUGUCCCUGGGAACCAAGAGGAUCAAGAGCAGGACCUUUACCAGGCCUGAGCUGAAGCUCCAGUACUUUGGCCACCUGAUACGAACAGCUGACUCACUGGAAAAGACCCUGAUGUAGGCAAAG